rfam:Heligmosomoides polygyrus genome assembly, scaffold: HPBE_scaffold0001100
GCGCCGGUGGUGUAAUGGCAUAUAGCAUUCCCGCCCGGUCAGAGGGAGGUGCGGGUUCAAGUCCCGCCUGGCGCU